UACGAAGGGUGCGAGCGUUAUUCGGAAUCACUGGGCGUAAAGGGUGCGUAGAUGGUGUGUUAAGUUUGUUGUUAAAGGCUCCGGCCUAACUGGAGUAUUGCGAUGAAAACUGGCGCGCUAGAGGGUGAGAGAGAGAAGUGGAAUUCCCGGAGUAGCGGUAAAAUGCGUGGAUCUCGGGAGGAACACCAAUGGCGAAGGCAGCUUCUUGGCUCAUUCCUGACAUUGAGGCACGAAAGCGUGGGGAGCAAACAGG
rnacentral:rRNA from 1 species